UACGUAGGGUCGCAAGCGUUGUCCGGAAUUAUUGGGCGUAAAGAGCUCGUAGGCGGUUUGUCGCGUCUGCUGUGAAAACUGGAGGCUCAACCUCCAGCCUGCAGUGGGUACGGGCAAACUAGAGUGCGGUAGGGGAGAUUGGAAUUCCUGGUGUAGCGGUGGAAUGCGCAGAUAUCAGGAGGAACACCGAUGGCGAAGGCAGAUCUCUGGGCCGUAACUGACACUGAGGAACGAAAGCCAGGGGAGCAAACGGGG
rnacentral:rRNA from 1 species